UGCCAGCCGCCGCGGUAAUACGGAGGGUCCAAGCGUUAUCCGGAUUCAUUGGGUUUAAAGGGUGCGCAGGCGGACUAUUAAGUCAGUGGUGAAAUCCAACAGCUCAACUGUUGAACUGCCAUUGAAACUGAUAGUCUUGAGUAUGGUUGUGGUAGGCGGAAUAUAGCAUGUAGCGGUGAAAUGCUUAGAUAUGCUAUAGAACACCGAUCGCGAAGGCAGCUUACCAAGCCAUUACUGACGCUCAUGCACGAAAGCGUGAGGAGCAAACAGGAUUAGAUA
rnacentral:rRNA from 1 species